CUUGAAAUACCACCCUUUAAUGUUUGAUGUUCUAACGUGGACCCGUAAUCCGGGUUGCGGACAGUGUCUGGUGGGUAGUUUGACUGGGGCGGUCUCCUCCUAAAGAGUAACGGAGGAGCACGAAGGUUGGCUAAUCCUGGUCGGACAUCAGGAGGUUAGUGCAAUGGCAUAAGCCAGCUUGACUGCGAGCGUGACGGCGCGAGCAGGUGCGAAAGCAGGUCAUAGUGAUCCGGUGGUUCUGAAUGGAAGGGCCAUCGCUCAACGGAUAAAAGGUACUCCGGGGAUAACAGGCUGAUACCGCCCAAGAGUUCAUAUCGACGGCGGUGUUUGGCACCUCGAUGUCGGCUCAUCACAUCCUGGGGCUGAAGUAGGUCCCAAGGGUAUGGCUGUUCGCCAUUUAAAGUGGUACGCGAGCUGGGUUUAGAACGUCGUGAGACAGUUCGGUCCCUAUCUGCCGUGGGCGCUGGAGAACUGAGGGGGGCUGCUCCUAGUACGAGAGGACCGGAGUGGACGCAUCACUGGUGUUCGGGUUGUCAUGCCAAUGGCACUGCCCGGUAGCUAAAUGCGGAAGAGAUAAGUGCUGAAAGCAUCUAAGCACGAAACUUGCCCCGA
rnacentral:rRNA from 5 species